rnacentral:rRNA from 1 species
CAGCAGCCACGGUAAUACGAGGGGUGCAAGCGUUGCUCGGAAUUAUUGGGCGUAAAGGGUAGGUAGGUGGUCUCAUUUGUCUAGGGUGAAAGCCUUGAGCUUAACUCAAGAAGUGCCCCGGAAACGGUGAGACUAGAGUCUUGGAGAGGGUCGUGGAACUUCCGGUGGAGCGGUGAAAUGCGUUGAGAUCGGAAGGAACGCCCGUGGCGAAAGCGAGGUCCUGGACGUUUUCUGACGCUGAGACGCGAAAGCUAGGGGAGCGAACGGGAUUAGAUACCCGAGUAGUCCCUGUCUCUUAUAC